rnacentral:rRNA from 1 species
AUGCGGAGGAUCCGAGCGUUAUCCGGAUUUAUUGGGUUUAAAGGGUGCGCAGGCGGGGGAUUAAGUCGGCGGUGAAAUUUUUCAGCUCAAAUGUAAAAGUGCCUUCGAAACUGGGUUUCUUGAGUGUAGAUGAAGUAGGCGGAAUUUGUGGUGUAGCGGUUAAAUGCAUAGAUAUCACGAGGAACUCCGAUUGCGCAGGCAGCUUACUAAACUACUACUGACGCUCAGGCACGAAGGCGUGGGGAUCAAACAGGAUUAGAUACCCUGGUAGUCCACGCAGUAAACGAUGAUUACUAGCUGUUUGCGAUACAAUGUAAGCGGCUGAGCGAAAGCGUUAAGUAAUCCACCUGGGGAGUACGUUCGCAAGAAUGAAACUCAAAUGAAUUGACGGGG